rnacentral:lncRNA from 1 species
UUUGCUCUCCUGAUGAAGACAAAGACUGUUGAUCCACUGAACCCACCCAGACAGUAUGUGGUUUCUUGAAUGUCCUACGUACAUUUUGAUGGAUUACCCAAGGACUAUCUGAUGAAGAAUAAUAGAGACAUAUAAAUACAUAUGGGCUACAUCUUGGCAAAAUAAAGUAAUCCUGAAGUAAAUUCUAAGGAUGUUCUGAAUUGACACCUCUUAAGCACAACCGAAUGUCCUGGUGGCUUUGCCUCCCACUGGGGCUUUUUGGCUCUUGUCUGGCCCCAGCGGCUGCUGCAGCUCUGUCUGAAUUCACACAGGAGCAACAUGAUGGUGCUCAGCCCUCGCCGAAGUGUCUUGCUGAAGAGUUGGGAGAUGCUUGGACUAUUCAGAUAGAGGCCAACUGGAAGUACAGGGCAGUCAACACAAACCAGAGAGGCAAACUUUUGGCCAGUGAGACAUGGAAAGGGAGAAGAAAUAUAUUCUUCUUUCUCCCCUAGAGUGAGGACCACCAACCUGAGUCCCAGUCACCUGGAAUCCCCUCAGACGAGCGUCCCUUGAGAUCCAGCACAUAGCAGCCAGCGUGCUGAUGAUUCCUUCCUGCCUACUGGCUCCUUCUUAUUUCUGCCUCCGUGGAACUGUAUUCUCUAAUCAAUAUUAGCACAUACGUAUUGCCCUAGACUGUACCUCCU